UGCCCCACCAGCUGCCAGCAUAGCCACGUGGGUGUCUGCAACAACAGCCCCACCCCACCCCACCUCAGGCCUCUUGGCUAUGCAGCUACUUGGUUCAAUACUACAGAGGCACAGGGGGACAUGAAGGCCAUUGUCUUGAGAUGCAGAAGUGAACAAAAGAGAGAAGGUGUCUCUCAGACUCCCUGAUGAAAACUGAAGCCCACUGGAAAAGUGAAGAGAAUCUCUAGAAUAAAGGCAAACCAGACCACCGUGCUUGAGACACAAAAGAGGAGUUCCAGAACAGGUUCAGAAAACAGCAAAAAAAUGAUGGGAUAAGCAAGUGUGAAGGAAGGGGGAGGGUUCUAAGGGGAUCCAACUCAGGACCUUGCGCUUGCGAGGAAGGCGGCAGAACCACUGAGCUACACCCCCAGCCCUGUGAUAUAUCUUUUAAACAUUCAUUGUACCAUUUGAUAACACCUCAUAUGCAGCAUUGUUACCUUAAUUUGUAUAUUAACCAGUGUUAAUAAACAGUAUGAGUUCAUACCCUUUUUC
rnacentral:lncRNA from 1 species